ACGGGUGAGUAAUAUAUCGGAACGUGCCCUAGAGUGGGGGAUAACUAGUCGAAAGACUAGCUAAUACCGCAUACGAUCUAAGGAUGAAAGUGGGGGAUCGCAAGACCUCAUGCUCCUGGAGCGGCCGAUAUCUGAUUAGCUAGUUGGUGGGGUAAAAGCCUACCAAGGCGACGAUCAGUAGCUGGUCUGAGAGGACGACCAGCCACACUGGGACUGAGACACGGCCCAGACUCCUACGGGAGGCAGCAGUGGGGAAUUUUGGACAAUGGGGGCAACCCUGAUCCAGCAAUGCCGCGUGAGUGAAGAAGGCCUUCGGGUUGUAAAGCUCUUUUGUCAGGGAAGAAACGGUUCUGGCUAAUAUCCAGAACUAAUGACGGUACCUGAAGAAUAAGCACCGGCUAACUACGUGCCAGCAGCCGCGGUAAUACGUAGGGUGCAAGCGUUAAUCGGAAUUACUGGGCGUAAAGCGUGCGCAGGCGGUUGUGUAAGACAGAUGUGAAAUCCCCGGGCUCAACCUGGGAAUUGCAUUUGUGACUGCACGGCUAGAGUGUGUCAGAGGGGGGUAGAAUUCCACGUGUAGCAGUG
rnacentral:rRNA from 1 species